rnacentral:rRNA from 1 species
UUGAAAGGGAAACGAUUGAAGUCAGUCGUACCUUCGGGUAAUCAGCCUUUCGGGUGCGAUUCUGUGGAGCGUGAGGAGUUAAACGCCUUCAUGCCUGCAUAUUCGUGCACUUUGGGUGUACUUGCCCGUGUGGUAGGUUAACAUCAAUUUCGGAUGUCAUAAAAUGGCUGGAGGAAUGUAGCUUCGGUCUCGUACUGAAGUGUUAUAGCCUUUGGUAGAUGUGAUGACCGGGAUUGAGGAUUGCAACGAAUACCUUUUGGGCUACCCGCCUGAUCUCUGAAAGUUGCUCUGGUGCCGAAAGCGUGCCUACGGUUAUCAAAGUUGACGUUCAAAAGGUUAGAACGGGUUAAAUUCGUUAAGGAUGUUGACGUA